rnacentral:rRNA from 1 species
GAUGAACGCUGGCGGCGUGCCUAAUACAUGCAAGUCGAGCGAACGGACGAGAAGCUUGCUUCUCUGAUGUUAGCGGCGGACGGGUGAGUAACACGUGGAUAACCUACCUAUAAGACUGGGAUAACUUCGGGAAACCGGAGCUAAUACCGGAUAAUAUUUUGAACCGCAUGGUUCAAAAGUGAAAGACGGUCUUGUUGUCACUUAUAGAUGGAUCCGCGCUGCAUUAGCUAGUUGGUAAGGUAACGGAUUACCAAGGCAACGAUGCAUAGCCGACCUGAGAGGGUGAUCGGCCACACUGGAACUGAGACACGGUCCAGACUCCUACGGGAGGCAGCAGUAGGGAAUCUUCCGCAAUGGGCGAAAGCCUGACGGAGCAACGCCGCGUGAGUGAUGAAGGUCUUCGGAUCGUAAAACUCUGUUAUUAGGGAAGAACAUAUGUGUAAGUAACUGUGCACAUCUUGACGGUACCUAAUCAGAAAGCCACGGCUAACUACGUG